AAAAAACCCCACACCCGAAAAAAAGCUCCAUCGAUCCCAUCUAUCGUUGCCACCGCCGCUGCCAUCCGAGAGGGAGACGCCGCCCCCGCCGCUGAACUCCGGGAAACGCCGCCGCCAAGUCUCUAGGGCAGGGCGGUUUCAAUCCCUGCCGCCGAACUCCGGGAGACACCGCCGCUGCGGCACAGGGUAGAUUUCGCGUCUCCACGUGGUCGCACGCACGCCUGCACCUCCACUCCCCCCUCGAUCCCGAUCGGAUCUUUCUCUCCACAAAAAUCGCCACCGCCGGCCUCCUUCGCUCGACUCGGCCAUGGUGAAGCUGCACCUCCCCCAAUUCCUCCCGUCGUCAUCGUCAUCCUCCGUGCGACCCUGCCAGAUUCCACGAUUUGGGGGUUCCCUAUGAGGAGUCGGCGUGUCGUCCUCAUCACAGGCGGGCGGGUGUUGGCAUGUGCGUGUACGGAGGAGCUCCACCUCACCCACUUCAGCUUCCUCCUGUCGUCAUCAUCGUCCUCCGCGCGACCACGCCAGCUUCCAUGGUUUGGGGGAGCCUUCCCUAUGAGGAUCCAGCGUGUCAUCCUCGUCGCACCCUAAUUAGGUUCCUGGUGUGUCCACACCCCGCACCCUAAUUUGAUUUCGACUGGAGUCUAGGACGUCAGCGCCACCAGUUUACUAAUCAGGUCGUUAGCACUGCCGUCCAGGUGAUAAUAAACGCCGUUCACCACAACAAGAGGUGAGAGGCAGAUUCCAGAUAAGGGAGCAAACUGUGUAGCAAGAUCAAUAAUGAAUGGUUCAAGUCAUGUGUUACAAGUUACAAUGAGCAGGUGGUACUCAAGUCCGUUGAUGAUAAGGAUAUUAUUCGAACAUUUACUGCAAUGAGGUCUCGGAAAGGGCAUUUGCCUCGUGAUUGUCUUUAGUGCGCUGUCGGUAUUCGGCAUGCCAGCGCCUUCGUCGACCUCCACUCGCCAAUCUGUAACGCCUAUGCCCGUGGUGGCGGGUCACACUCUGAUGCAGCCGUGCACGCCGCCGCUACCAGACGACACCCCCAUCGAGUAAUACACCCCAGUCGAGAUUUUCUAUAUCAUCUCUGCCAAGGCGCAGUCAUCGGAAGAGAUUCAGGUAAGAUUAUCCUUGUUUUCUACAUCAAAUUUUGCAUGUUCAUCUAUCUAAUCUUUGAUACUACAUUUCUUAGCUAAUGUCCUCCUUGCCUGUACCAUGUUCAUAUGAUUAACAAAGGCUUGGCCAUCUUAAUAUAGUAGCCCGUGAGGUGGAUAUAUAUACUACUCCCUCCAUUCCUAAAUAUAAGUCUUUUUACAGAUUCCAAUAUGGACUACUGAAUGAAUCUACACUCUAAAGAAUGUCUAUAUGCAUCCGUAUGUAGUCCAUAUUGAAAUUUCUAAAUGGACUUAUAUUUAGAAACAGAGGGAGUACUUCAGUUUGCAUGAGAGAAUAAUCACUUAUAUGUGUGCCUUGAUAUUAUAGUAGGAUUGCUUGGAUUAUUUCUGUAGUACUUUGUCCAAAAAUGUUGGUCUAAUCCCUAGCUCACUUGAACCUGGGUGAACAGUAAAAUAAUUAAAAAAUCUGAUGUUUUUUAGUGUGAAACAUUGACAAAUGUUUUCAUAGCGAAUAGAAAUUUUUCACCAGAUGACAUUCGUGGAAAAUAUGUCCAAAAAUAGUUGCAAAUUUAUCACCAGAUAACAUUGUGGAAAAUAGUUGCGUCCGUACAGUGUGUUCUUCGUCGAAUUUGUGUUUGAUUUUUUCACUAUAUAUUACUUCUUGCUUGCGCGAGGGUGGUGUAGAUUUGUUAUUUUUUGCCCCGAAAAGAAGGUAGCCAGAUUAGUAGUCUAAUUGAGUAGAUGCUGGUGAGGGAGAGUUACUUGAUUUUUAUUGAGUACAUUAUGCUCUGUUUUGUGACGAGGUUUGAAAUUUGAUGGUUCUGAUGUGUAAUAGAGGGGGCAAAAGUGUUAUCCAUUUCAUUGUUUCUGUGCAUGUUUACGUUGACCAUCGGUGGCGGGAGGCGGCAUUGCUGGCGGCCGAAGGGGUGCUUGUGGAAGCAGGUGGAAUAGUCGGCAACUGUGGGGAUUCGUUAUUCUCCGAGGUUGGCGGGCUCGACGCCAGGCUCGAUGGGGCUGCGGGAUUGUCAAGCAGUUUGAUUCAGGACACCAAGCGUUUGGGAAAGUGGCAUGGUGCUGGUCCUUGAAAUUGAUGUUCUUAGUGAUUUAUGAUGGAGUUUUAUCUGAAUUUAACAUCGCUGUCCUCAACAUCAAUUUUGUUGACUCAUAGACGGGUGAUUGCUCAACGAUGACUGGAGACGAUCUUCGGUAUUACAACUGGUUUAUACCAAUGGGUUAUUUGCAUCUCAAGUUAAAUUAGUCACUGUUGAUCAACAAUGAGAUGUGGCCAUUGUUUGAUGGAUCAUUGAUGAUACGGAUGUGCAAUGAAACAAUGAUAUACCCACUGUAUUGGACCCGAACACCUUCCUGAAAAUUGUUCUGAAGGGGUUAGCACAAGGAAACUAUUGUUAUGACUUGCGAGGUCUGCUGGAGGUGACCGGAUCCGGAUGACUUGAGCAAAGCUGUGAAAAUUCACGGCAAGGGAUGGGGGUACAAGGCAUGGGUCUGCGGCGCCACACCUUGCUGUUGCCUGCCGGUGGCCAGCGAGCUGUGGCGGUGCUUCUCUGUUGCAUGGCGAGGGACUGGGGUGCAAGGCGUGCAUCUGCAGUGCCGCUCCUGGGGCAUGCCUCUCCCGCGACAUUGCCAGCAUACACAACAUACCUUGCUACACGGGGAUUUCCUCUCUGAACUAAAUAUUAUGUCAUAACUGAAUAUUACGUCUGAAGACUGAAACAACUAGAAAGCUUAUUGAGACUAUUCAUUGAUGGUGUUUCUCUACUACACGAGGAAGUUUCAUGUGCCAAUUAGGCAUGGACGACGACGGCCAUGAUCCCAUCAUCGCAAGCUCAUGGGAGGGAGACACACGUCUCAUCCAGUGUAAUAGCACGCUCCAAAAAAUCCCUAACCCUCCAUGGAGCCAUUGCCAGGGUGAUGAGAUCAACACCACCCACCAGCACCACCACCGAGCUGUAGACGGCGUGUCAUGGUGCUCCCUAGCUCUUCCCGCCUCUUAAGAGACCACAUGGCGUUCUGGCAGUUCUGGUGCAGUUUUUGGCCAAGGCUGGAAGCCAAGAACACUUUAAUUUUGAUCAUGGACGU